GGCGGGGGCGGGACCGCGGGGCGCGCGUGUGUGCGCGUGUGUGUGAGAGACGGGACCUCCGUGUCUGUGUGAGAGACCUGCCGGGGACCUGUGUGCGUGUGUGAGAGCGAGACGGGGUGUGGGCCGUGUGCGUGUCACGGGGCGCGUGCGGGAGAGAGCCGGGCCGCCGCGGGACCGCUCCCGGCGGAGGCUGCGGGCGGGAGCCGGCGGCGGGACGGACGCGUCUGGUUGACGAGACUGAGCAGCCGCCGCGCGGCUCCUUGACCUGAGACGGAAAGAGCACAAAAGGAGCAGCGGUCACCGGGAGAGGCAGGAGCAGGCGCCCCACUGAGCGGGAGCCGGGCGCGGGCCGUCGGAGAACGCUGGGAUCAGACCUGAGCUGGAAGCAGACACAACGGGAUGAGCCCCCCAGGCGCCCCGUCCCAACCAGAUUUAAGCACACGGUUCGGUGGCAGUAGUACAUUCACACUGUUGUGUAGCCGCCACCACCACCAUCUCUAGAACCUUCUCACCCUCCCAGGGUGACUCUGUCCCUGUUGAGCACUGACCCCCUCAGAGCCUGCCCCAGCCUCCGGCAUGGCCUCUGGCACCCACCAUUCCCUUUUCUGCCGGUAUGAAUCUGACCGUUGGAGGACCUCGUGUCAGUAGAAUCACACAGUGUCUGUCCUUUGGGGACUGGCUUACUUCACUUCGAGUGUCCUCAAAGUUCACCGUGUAGUCUAUGUCAGAAUUUCAUUUUGAAGGCUGAGUAAUACUCCAUUUUAUGGGUACAACACAUUUUGUUGAUCCGUCCAUCCGUCAGUGGACACUGGGGUUCCUUCCACCUUUGGCUACUGUGAAUAAUGCUAUGAACCUAAGUGUGCAAAUACCUCCUCACGUCCCUUUCUGUUUUGGGGGGUGUACACCCAGAAAUGGAACUGCUGGGUCACCUUUGUAGGUUUUUCAGUUAGGCGUUGACAUUAUGUGACUUAUAUUUUUAAAAAUCUCUGAGUUUUGGAGAACGAAUCUGUUACACAGAAGUACUCUGAUCUCUGUUUAAACAUGGUGUCUGGAACCCAUACAUUUUUGCCGGCUUCUUCCAGAAGGUUGCUUACUAAAAUGAUAGUAAGAAGAUUUUUUUUUUUCAAGUAGGCUCCACACCUAGCAUGGAGCCCAGCACAGGGGCUUGAACUCACGACCCUAAGAUGAAGACCUAAGCUGAACUCAAGAGUUAGACACUUAACUGACUGAGCCACACAGGUGCCCCAUAAAAAGAUUUUAAAAGAGAGAAAGAAAAAGGUGAGUACCUCACCUCCGUCAUGGAAGAUGACUUUCAUUCCAGAGGAUUUAAACCAGAAGGACUCUGGACUUGGACACUGGACGGCUGAGACUGUGGUGCAGUAGUAGAGCUGAGAUUACUCAGACGUGAUGAAGUUCGCGUGCUAACGGGACCGCUAACCCUUUCCUUCAGUUUAGCUGCAAGAAUGCUGGCCACUAGACUUACACAGCGCUCCACUCUAACCACGACCCUUCCCCUGGGCAAGAAAUUAAAGAAUUCCUCUCUGGGGAAUUCUAAGAGAAAAAGGCCUCAGUUCUGAAAAUGGGUGAUCUCGGACAAAACCGGGUCCCUGCUCGGUCAGUCCACGGUGAGAGUACUGCCUGGUCACUCCGACUCUUAAAGGACGAUGUAUAAUCAGCAGAAUUUUGGGGAAAUCCUGAUUGGGAAAAAGAAAGCAAAACAAAUGGAAAAAAACAAAACAAAACAAAAAACAACCAUGAACCCCGAGGAAACAGAAACAGCAUAUGGGACAUAAAAGAAAUUUUAAAAUAGAAUAUUAAGAUCCAAGGCUAUUGUGUCCAUGAGAGGAGGACAGGAUACGGAGUGUGAGAAAAGGUGAGGAGGAGGGUUAACGCAAGAGCAAUAAGAGCAGAGCAAAGUCAGGGGAAAGGGUGGUAUAUGCUCCUCACAGCCUCCGAACGUCAGGGUGACGUCCUGCUCUAGAAGGGUCCCUUUCCAAUGUCUCCAUGUAGGCAAGCAAUAGUAUUGGAGGUUUUACCACAAUUUUUUUUAAAGUGAAAAAAAAAGUCAGGGCAGGCCUCUGGCCCCCCAUUUCUACCAAAGUGACACAAUUGUUCUGAAAAAUUACAAUCAC